rfam:Bombyx mori DNA, contig: Bm_scaf36_contig21650, strain: p50T/Dazao, build 2, whole genome shotgun sequence.
UUAGCUCAUAUUUGUAUGGAAUGGGAUCGUUUGCGUACGUUUGCCGCUAGGGGCGCUGUUCCAACUGCAUACAAAAUUGGCCUA